rnacentral:rRNA from 1 species
UACGUAGGGUGCAAGCGUUAUCCGGAAUUAUUGGGCGUAAAGAGCUCGUAGGCGGUUUGUCGCGUCUGCCGUGAAAGUCCGGGGCUCAACUCCGGAUCUGCGGUGGGUACGGGCAGACUAGAGUGAUGUAGGGGAGACUGGAAUUCCUGGUGUAGCGGUGAAAUGCGCAGAUAUCAGGAGGAACACCGAUGGCGAAGGCAGGUCUCUGGGCAUUAACUGACGCUGAGGGGCGAAAGCAUGGGGAGCGAACAGG